rnacentral:rRNA from 1 species
UACGUAGGGGGCAAGCGUUGUCCGGAAUCAUUGGGCGUAAAGCGCGCGUAGGCGGCCAGAUAAGUCCGGUGUGAAAGUCACAGGCUCAACCUGUGAAUGCCGCUGGAAACUGUCUGGCUGAGUCCGGAAGGGGCGAGUGGAAUUCCUGGUGUAGCGGUGAAAUGCGCAGAUAUCAGGAGGAACACCAAUGGCGAAGGCAGCUCGCUGGAACGGUACUGACGCUGAGGCGCGAAAGCGUGGGAGCAAACGGG